rnacentral:rRNA from 1 species
UUCCGGUUGAUCCUGCCAGACCCGACUGCUAUCCGGGUGAGACUAAGCCAUGCAAGUUGAAUGGGGGAGCUAUCUCCCAUAGCAUACUGCUCAGUAACAAGUGAUCAACAUACCCUUAAGUGGGGCAUACCCUCGGGAAACUGAGGCUAAUUCCCCAUAGUUGAAAAAGCCUGGAAAGGUUUUUCAUCCAAAGAAUAUGGCUAUUGCGUUAUAUUUGCUUAAGGAUUGGGUUGCUCCCGAUUAUGGUUGUUGGUGAGGUAAUGGCUCACCAAGCCUAUGAUCGGUAAGGGCCGUGAGAGCGGUAGCCCUGAGAUGGGAACUGAGACAAUGUCCCAGGCCCUUACGAGGCGCAGCAGGCGCGAAACCUUUACAAUGCACGAAAGUGUGAUAAGGUUACCCGGAGUGCUUGACAUAUAAUCAAGCUGUUAUAGUGUGUAGAUAACACUAUGAGAAAGGAGAGGGCAAGGCUGGUGCCAGCCGCCGCGGUAAAACCAGCUCUUCAAGUUGUCGGGACAAUUAUUGAGCUUAAAGUGUCCGUAGCCGGUUUAGUAAGUCCCUGGUUAAAUCUGGUAGCUUAACUAUCAGCUUGCUAGGGAAACUACUUCGCUAGAGGGCGGGAAAGGUCUGAGGUACUCCAGGGGUAGCGGUGAAAUGCGAUAAUCCUUGGGGGACCACCAGUGGCGAAAGCGUCAGACUGGAACGCGCCUGACGGUGAGGGACGAAAGCCAGGGGAGCGAACGGGAUUAGAUACCCCGGUAGUCCUGGCUGUAAACGAUGCAUGCUAGGUGUUGGUAGGGCUAUGAGCUGUAUCAGUGCCGUAGGGAAACCGUUAAGCGUGCCGCUUGGGAAUUACGCUCGCAAGAGUGAAACUUAAAGGAAUUGGCGGG